rnacentral:lncRNA from 1 species
GUCAGUUCUGGCCAGUUCUAGCUGGAUCAAGAGAGCUCUGCUGGGCAGGCCUGAAGAGUAGCUGGAUGGCAGACACCUGAGGAGCCAGGUGUCUGAAAUUUCCUCCACCUGCUUGAGGAGCGCCAAAGCCCAGGUGCUGGCUAGACAACCCCUUCUGGCUGCCUAAGCAGGUGGCAGAGGAAGGAAAAAAGGUCAGAGGCAGAGUGUUGAACCCUGCCUCCCAGGGCAUGAUGGUGCAUGCUUGUAGCCCAGCUACUUGGAAGACUGAGG